GCUGCUCUGUGUUUAGCUGCCUUUUUUCAGCUCCUCUGGGCUUUGUUCAAGACAUCUUCCAGCUGGAUGUUCUCUGUGGUCCUGUCUGGGGCAGGAGCAAGCAGCUGCUCUGCGGAGGAGAAUGGCAGGAGCUGGAAGGGACCUCAAAAGUUUGUCUAGUCCAGCCCCUCUGCCAGAGCAGAUCACACAGGAAUGCAUCCAGAUGGCUUGUGAAUAUCUCCAGAGAGGAAGACUCCACAACCACCCUGGGCAACCUCUCUCAGUGCUCUGUCACCCUCACAGGGAUAAAAAGUUCUUCCUCAGGCUGACAUGGAGCCUCCUGUGCCUCAACUCCCACCCCUUGCCCCUUCUUUUUGGGAAGCACUGCUGUAAUGUUUUUUUCCCAGUGACUGAUGCUUUGCUGUUGCUGUGCUUGUUUGCAGAACAAAAAUAAAAGCAGCCAGAGUUACUAUA